AGAAUCAACGCUGGCGGCGUGCCUAACACAUGCAAGUCGAACGAGAAAGUGGAGCAAUCCAUGAGUAAAGUGGCGCACGGGUGAGCAACACGUGACUAACCUACCCUUGAGUGGGGAAUAACCUCGGGAAACCGGGCUAAUACCGCAUAACACCUACGGGUCAAAGGAGCAAUUCGCUUAAGGAGGGGUCGCGGCAGAUUAGUUAGUUGGCGGGGUAAUGGCCCACCAAGACGGUGAUCUGUA
rnacentral:rRNA from 1 species